rnacentral:rRNA from 1 species
AACGAACGCUGGCGGCAUGCCUAACACAUGCAAGUCGAACGAAGUCUUCGGACUUAGUGGCGCACGGGUGCGUAACGCGUGGGAAUCUGCCCUUGGGUGCGGAAUAACUUCUCGAAAGGGAUGCUAAUACCGCAUAUUGUCGUAAGACCAAAGAUUUAUCGCCCAAGGAUGAGCCCGCGUAAGAUUAGCUAGUUGGUGGGGUAAAAGCCUACCAAGGCGACGAUCUUUAGCUGGUCUGAGAGGAUGAUCAGCCACACUGGGACUGAGACACGGCCCAGACUCCUACGGGAGGCAGCAGUGGGGAAUAUUGGACAAUGGGCGAAAGCCUGAUCCAGCAAUGCCGCGUGAGUGAUGAAGGCCUUAGGGUUGUAAAGCUCUUUACCCGAGAUGAUAAUGACAGUAUCGGGAGAAUAAGCUCCGGCUAACUCCGUGCCAGCAGCCGCGGUAAU